rnacentral:rRNA from 1 species
UGGGGAAUUUUGGACAAUGGGCGAAAGCCUGAUCCAGCAAUGCCGCGUGAGUGAAGAAGGCCUUCGGGUUGUAAAGCUCUUUUGUCAGGGAAGAAACGGUGAGGGCUAAUAUCCCUUGCUAAUGACGGUACCUGAAGAAUAAGCACCGGCUAACUACGUGCCAGCAGCCGCGGUAAUACGUAGGGUGCAAGCGUUAAUCGGAAUUACUGGGCGUAAAGCGUGCGCAGGCGGUGUUGUAAGUCUGAUGUGAAAUCCCCGGGCUCAACCUGGGAAUUGCAUUGGAGACUGCAAGGCUAGAAUCUGGCAGAGGGGGGUAGAAUUCCACGUGUAGCAGUGAAAUGCGUAGAUAUGUGGAGGAACACCGAUGGCGAAGGCAGCCCCCUGGGUCAAGAUUGACGCUCAUGCACGAAAGCGUGGGGAGCAAACA